rnacentral:misc_RNA from 1 species
UACGGAGACCUCGAGCGUUACUCGGAAUUACUGGGCGUAAAGCGCGCGUAGGUGGCUUGAUAAGCCGGUUGUGAAAGCCCCGGGCUCAACCUGGGAACGGCAUCCGGAACUGUCAAGCUAGAGUGCAGGAGAGGAAGGUAGAAUUCCCGGUGUAGCAGUGAAAUGCGUAGAGAUCGGGAGGAAUACCAGUGGCGAAGGCGGCCUUCUGGACUGACACUGACACUGAGGUGCGAAAGCGUGGGUAGCAAACAGG